UUUACUUGCAGUAGCAAGGUAUUUUGAAAACUGGGAAGAAUUAAUAUAGUAUUCUCAUUCAUAAUCAAGACUGAAAUUUUUGAUUUCUUAUAAGAUUCAUAUUACUUCAUUUAUAAUUUUUCUGAAUGUAUUUAAAGAUGUACGAUGAUGUAUUGUAGAUUAAUACCAGCAAUUCCUCGUAACGGCAUGUCAAGGGCAAUCCUUUGUGGGCCUUCAACUUUGGAGGAAACAACAUCUUCAUGAUUCAUGGUUCCAUGGAGUCCUGGGUUAUACCUGACACUGUUUGCACUGACUGACAAGCUGUCUCUUCCUGUUCAUCUUCCAUGCGCUGAUCUUUAUUCAUCUGGAGGUUGUCCUCAAGACAUAGUUCAAGAAGUCCUGGAGAUUAAUAAACGAGACGUGAAAUACUAGAUGAAAAUAUAUAUGCACAUUUAGUAUCCACCAUUUUGUUUUUGUAAUUGGACAACAUUUUUGUAUUCAUAGCUAUUGUUUUUAUCAUUUUGUUUUAAAUUAUUUUUAUUUCAAUUUGUUAAAUUCAGUUUUUAGUUCAAGGUUGAAUUUGUGCUUACUUUCAUUUCUAAUCACUUUUGGCUUCUUCCCACUAAAUGUCUUCAGUUUCAACAGUGGCAAUUGAAUGUCCCCGUUUCCAAAUGCAGCUACACAUUUUGCCCAUGAAUUCUCCAGGAGUUUGGUAGUGUCAGCAAAGGUGUCGGUACGGAAAUGUUGAGAUGAAGUAUUAAGUUGAUAAGGACCACCAUGAUUAGGACUAUCGUGAAAAACGAUCUCAUCUCCAUCCAAAUGCCACCAGAUGUUUUCUCCUUCUAGCAGGAAAUCGGCGAUUCUCUCACAGUGUGUUUGAAACAGAUAUGGUCUUGCCCUUAGCAUCUCAACUGGAAAUCUAGUGUUUUCAGCUGCAGGAAGUAAACGAGCCUGUUGUGUUAUCGUUGAUUCCUGUUUCUUGUAGCUAGAGAAUCUGUUUUGUUGUUGUUGGGCAUUGAACCUCACAAUGGCAUUGUCUAUUAUUUUCCCACAUUGUCGGUUGGAGGUGUUGAGAGAAAUUCUUCUCAUGUCUCCGAAGGAGCGUUCUUGCUGUUCUGGGAUGAGAGAUCUCAGGCAAAAGAUUCGGAAUAUCUGAGGAGCAUGGACAGUUAAACAAUGAAAAUGACAUCCAUAGAAUUUCCGAAGGGUUACCUUAUUGGGAUUGCCGAUGACUGUUUUGCAUAGAGUGCUGAAGAGAAAGCAUUGAUUGUAUAAUCUGAGGAUUGAUUUUGGAGAUCUUUCUUUGUAGUGGCUGUAGCAUAUUGAUAUGAUUUCAACUAAAGAAUUGCAGAGAAGGAAGAUGUCUUUAGAAAUGGAGUUUGCUGUGAAUUUUUGAUGGGCAAAUUUGGUAAGUUUAACAGCAAAAAGUCUGGCAUCAGAUCCUUUUAGUUGAUUUUUGUCGCCUAUAGUAGCAUUAGCAAACUUCUGAAAUUCAUUUUCAACCACUUUGUCCUUAAUGUGUGAUGGAAGCUCAGUUAUCAAGUUUUGAACAAUGUUUGUCAGGUCGUGUAACGGUUCACAUGGUGGUAUCUCAUACUUAGACAAAGAAAGAGAAUUAAUGUCGCUGCUUAAGAGUGGUGGAGGUCUCUGGAUUCCAUGCAGAGCUGUUGCUAGUUCUUCCCUCAUUUCUCCUACAGCUUUCCUAAAGGUGUCGAAACCCCUGGCCUCCAGUUCAUCAAUGAGUUCUUCUUUUUUCAGAUGAGUGAGAGGAUUUAUGUUGGUGUUUGAAAAAUCCUUCCAAUGAACUCCAGCUCUGAAGAUCUCCAUUCUCCUACCAAGUGUUAGAGGUGUGAAUUGGAAGGCACACUCUAAGUUGGGGUGUUCUCUAACAGAAAUACCACAGAGACAGCUAUAGUGACCUCCACGUUGAUGUCCAGCCUCAAACUGUCUGGCAGGGCCAUCACCACUGAAUACACGAAGAACAUCAUGAAUUGCAGUGCCCUGAUGAUAAGUGGGAAGGUGGAUGGAGUUGAUGUCUUCUAGUCUGGUUGAUGUGUAGGAAAGCUGGUCAACAUCACUGGAUUUGGACUGC